GAUCGAGUUUGAUCCUGGCUCAGAUUGAACGCUGGCGGCAUGCUUUACACAUGCAAGUCGAACGGUAACAGGUUAAGCUGACGAGUGGCGAACGGGUGAGUAAUGCAUCGGAACGUGCCCGAUCGUGGGGGAUAACGCAGCGAAAGCUGCGCUAAUACCGCAUACGAUCUGAGGAUGAAAGCGGGGGACCUUGUAGCAAUACGGGGCCUCGCGCGAUCGGAGCGGCCGAUGUCAGAUUAGGUAGUUGGUGGGGUAAAGGCUCACCAAGCCGACGAUCUGUAGCUGGUCUGAGAGGACGACCAGCCACACUGGGACUGAGACACGGCCCAGACUCCUACGGGGAGGCAGCAGUGGGGGAAUUUU
rnacentral:rRNA from 1 species